rnacentral:misc_RNA from 1 species
ACGAGUUAGGGUCUCUCUAGGCCCGACCUCCCAACCCUUUGUUUACCUAAACCUCAUGUUGCUUCGGCGGACCCGUCUCACGACCGCCUGGGGAUCGCUGCGAAGCGUCUCUGGGCCCGUGUCCGCCGACAGCCAACCCCAAACUCUGGAUGAAUCGUGUUUUUUGUCUGAGUCUUGUGAUUAAAUCAAAAGCAAA